rnacentral:rRNA from 1 species
GACGUAGGAGGCGAGCGUUAUCCGGAUUCAUUGGGCGUAAAGCGCGUGCAGGCGGUGUCUUAAGUCGGAUGUGAAAUCUCCCGGCCUAACUGGGAGGGGUCGUUCGAUACUGGGACACUUGAGGGCGGGAGAGGGAAGUGGAAUUCCCGGUGUAGCGGUGGAAUGCGCAGAUAUCGGGAGGAACACCAGUGGCGAAGGCGACUUCCUGGACCGUUCCUGACGCUGAGACGCGAAAGCUAGGGUAGCAAACGGGAUUAGAUACCCCUGUA